GCUUACAGUCAUACCACCCCGAGCACGCCCGCUCUCGUAUGAACUCAGAAGCUGAGCAGGGUUGGGCUUGGUUAGUACUUGGAUGGGAGACUGCCUAGGAUUACCAGAUGCUGUAAGUU
ensembl:rRNA 5S_rRNA 5S ribosomal RNA